GGUAAUUGGGUGGUGGACCAGUUUGUCUGGAUCAAUCUUUUAUUUUUUCUUUUUUUCUUUUUUUCAGAAAUUGCUUUUCUUUUUUCCAUUUCUUUGCUUUUCUCAUGAUCGAAAGCUCCAGUUUUAAAUAUUGUAUGUUUUGGAGAUCUAGGUCGUAGUCUAUACAGUGUCGAUUAUCUAGUGCAAGGUUGUGCGGUUGGCCCCGGAUGGGAGCGAUGGCGUCCAUGAAAACGCUGCUGUAAAGCUCCGG
rnacentral:lncRNA from 1 species